rnacentral:pre_miRNA from 1 species
ACCAGGCAAGAUGUUGGCAUUGUUGAACAUUGUAUUACGGCUUCAGCAGUGCUACAUAGUGCCAAGUU